rnacentral:lncRNA from 1 species
GGCUGCACGGGAAAAGUGUCAGCGCUGGGACUGCCUCACAUUGCUAAAUGUGCCACACAGGCAGUGACCCCAGGUGGGACAGGCAGCUGCGGAAAAGCCACCUUGUCCUCUGCAGCCAGAUGUACCAGAGUGCCUAUGGUGUCGAGGACACCAGAAACUGGAAAUGUAAACAGAAAUAAAACGACUAGGAGCAAGAAAAGUACAUCUCCACUAGUGUAAAUCAUGCUAGCAAAGGGAAGGCAACAUUUUCUGCACUUGGAAACAGUUCCAGGCUGCUGCGCUGUUCCAUGCUGCUGCCCGUGCCAUGGCUAUGCCUGCAGUACCUACAAGGCAGCUCUGUUUUGCUGGGCAAAACCAAGCAACAGGAGAUUGCUCUGACUGAACACAGUCUAAAUGGAAGGCUGGGCAGAUACUUAGGAACAUGAGAACUGGCAAAGCAGACACAGGGAUCAACAACUUCAUUCUGGUUAAAGACAAAGCAGAGCUGAGCUGAAACCGAAGCCUGGACACCCCUUUUUGUAGGCAUUUUGAUGAAGGUCUGCAUUUUGCAGGACAGGGUGCAUCACCACCCAGCUCGUUCAGCAGAUGUUUGUGCACCUUCAGUGCUGCCCAGUCCGGUUACCUUAUCCUGGCUGCAGAGUCCCCAUGAAUGGUCACACCAGGAUGCCCACAAAGGAACAGUGCAGGUGAACAGAUGAGAUGCAGACCUCUGAUGAGAACCUCUGGAACAGCUGGAAGGGACCACUGAUCUCUGCCUCCACCUUUUCACAUCUUCGUCCAGAAGCGUCACACAGAGUAACCUUGAUCAUCUGACGGCACAUGUUCUCUUCUGCCAACACUGCUGUGAACUGCUGUGGUGUAACAACAAAUAACUGUGAGGUGAUACCCUCUUAAACCAGCCCAGCUGAGAAAAAUGAAUCAGAGCAUUUACCUCGUCCAGCUGAGACCUGCAGUCUAGUAGCAGAAUGCAGAAAUUGAAUUAAACUGCAAAGCAGCAGUGGAAGCAAUGUAGGUACAGGCUUAU